AUACUCUGGUUUCUCUUUAGAUCGAAUAAAGCUUUUGCCUUUAUUAAAGAUUCCAUGGAGAAGAUCAUCCAUGAGUUUUCAAGGGUCUUUUGAAAGCUCUGCCCCUUGCAGGGUA